rfam:Hordeum vulgare subsp. vulgare, WGS project CAJW01000000 data, contig: morex_contig_39783
AAACUACUACCUCCGUACGGAAUUACUUGUCACAAAAAUAAAUGGAAAUUGAUGUAUCUAGAACUAAAAUGCAUCUAGAUACAUGCAUUCCUCCGACAAGUAUUUUCGAACGGAGGGAGUACUUU